UUUUAUGGAGAGUUUGAUCCUGGCUCAGGAUGAACGCUGGCGGCGUGCCUAAUACAUGCAAGUCGAGCGAACAGACGAGGAGCUUGCUCCUCUGACGUUAGCGGCGGACGGGUGAGUAACACGUGGAUAACCUACCUAUAAGACUGGGAUAACUUCGGGAAACCGGAGCUAAUACCGGAUAAUAUAUUGAACCGCAUGGUUCAAUAGUGAAAGACGGUUUUGCUGUCACUUAUAGAUGGAUCCGCGCCGCAUUAGCUAGUUGGUAAGGUAACGGCUUACCAAGGCAACGAU
rnacentral:rRNA from 1 species